rnacentral:rRNA from 1 species
CCUACGGGUGGCAGCAGUAGGGAAUAUUGGGCAAUGGGGGCAAGCCUGACCCAGCAACGCCGCGUGAAGGAAGAAGGCUUUCGGAUUGUAAACUUCUUUUGUCAGAGAAGAGCAUGAGGCUGUACCUCUCAAAUACACCGCGGCUAACUACGUGCCAGCAGCCGCGGUAAUACGUAGGGGGCAAGCGUUGUCCGGAUUUACUGGGUGUAAAGGGCGUGUAGCCGGGCUGACAAGUCAGAUGUGAAAUCCGGGGGCUCAACCCCCGAACUGCAUUUGAAACUGUUGGUCUAGAGUAUCGGAGAGGCAGGUGGAAUUCUUAGUGUAGCGGUGAAAUGCGUAGAGAUUAGGAGGAACACCAGUGGCGAAGGCGGCCUGCUGGACGACAACUGACGGUGAGGCGCGAAAGCGUGGGGAGCAAACAGGAUUAGAUACCCCGGUAGUC